CAAGGUGUAGCUUAACAUUAAAGCACCCGGCCUACGCCCGGAAGAUUUCAUGAUACAUGACCACCUCGA
rnacentral:tRNA from 1 species